CGAGCCUGAUGCAGCCAUGCCGCGUGUAUGAAGAAGGCCUUCGGGUUGUAAAGUACUUUCAGCGGGGAGGAAGGUGAUGAGGUUAAUAACCUUGUCAAUUGACGUUACCCGCAGAAGAAGCACCGGCUAACUCCGUGCCAGCAGCCGCGGUAAUA
rnacentral:rRNA from 1 species